UACGUAGGGGGCAAGCGUUAUCCGGAUUUACUGGGUGUAAAGGGAGCGUAGACGGCUGUGCAAGCCAGAUGUGAAAGCCCGGGGCUCAACCCCGGGACUGCAUUUGGAACUGUGUAGCUGGAGUGUCGGAGAGGCAGGCGGAAUUCCUAGUGUAGCGGUGAAAUGCGUAGAUAUUAGGAGGAACACCAGUGGCGAAGGCGGCUUACUGGACGGCAACUGACGCUGAGGCUCGAAAGCGUGGGGAGCAAACAGG
rnacentral:rRNA from 1 species